UAGCUCAGUGGUAGAGCAUGUGCCCAGCAUGCACGAGGUCCUGGGUUCAAUCCCUAG
rnacentral:tRNA from 1 species